GAUGAACGCUGGCGGCGUGCUUAACACAUGCAAGUCGAACGGAAAGGCUCCUGCUUGCAGGGGUACUCGAGUGGCGAACGGGUGAGUAACACGUGGGUGAUCUGCCCUGCACUUCGGGAUAAGCCUGGGAAACUGGGUCUAAUACCGGAUAGGACGAUGGUUUGGAUGCCAUUGUGGAAAGUUUUUCGGUGUGGGAUGAGCUCGCGGCCUAUCAGCUUGUUGGUGGGGUAAUGGCCUACCAAGGCGUCGACGGGUAGCCGGCCUGAGAGGGUGUACGGCCACAUUGGGCCUGAGAUACGGCCCAGACUCCUACGGGAGGCAGCAGUGGGGAAUAUUGCACAAUGGGCGCAAGCCUGAUGCAGCGACGCCGCGUGGGGGAUGACGGCCUUCGGGUUGUAAACUCCUUUCGCUAGGGACGAAGCGCAAGUGACGGUACCUGGAGAAGAAGCACCGGCUAACUACGUG
rnacentral:rRNA from 1 species